rnacentral:rRNA from 1 species
UACGGGGGGGGCAAGCGUUGGUCGGAAUUACUGGGCGUAAAGGGCGUGUAGGUGGCCAACUAAGUCCGACGUGAAAUCCCCGGGCUCAACCCGGGAACUGCGUCCGAUACUGGCAGGCUUGAAUUCGGGAGAGGGAUGCGGAAUUCCAGGUGUAGCGGUGAAAUGCGUAGAUAUCUGGAGGAACACCGGUGGCGAAGGCGGCAUCCUGGACCGAGAUUGACGCUGAUGCGCGGAAGCCAGGGGAGCAAACAGG